UACAGAGGGUGCUAGCGUUAAUCGGAUUUACUGGGCGUAAAGCGUGUGUAGGCGGUUCGUUAAGUCGGAUGUGAAAGCCCUGGGCUCAACCUAGGAAUUGCAUUCGAUACUGGCGGGCUAGAGUACGGUAGAGGGCGGCGGAAUUCCGGGUGUAGCGGUGAAAUGCGUAGAUAUCGAGCGGAACACCAGUGGCGAAGGCGAGUUCCUGGACAAGUCCUGACGCUGAGGCACGAAAGCCAGGGGAGCAAACAGG
rnacentral:rRNA from 1 species